rnacentral:rRNA from 1 species
AUACGUAGGUGACAAGCGUUAUCCGGAUUUACUGGGCGUAAAGGGCGUGUAGGCGGUCUUGCAAGUCAGAAGUGAAAUUCCUGAGCUCAACUCGGGCGCUGCUUCUGAAACUGCAGGACUUGAGUGCUGGAGGGGAUAGCGGAAUUCCUAGUGGAGCGGUAAAAUGGGCAGAUAUUAGGAAGAACACCGGUGGCGAAGGCGGCUGUCUGGACAGUAACUGACGCUGAGGCGCGAAAGCGUGGGGAGCAAACGGGAUUAGAUACCCUGGUAGUCCACGCUGUAAACGAUGAAUACUAGGUGUAGGGGGUAUCGACUCCCUCUGUGCCGCAGUUAACACAAUAAGUAUUCCGCCUGGGGAGUACGGCCGCAAGGUUGAAACUCAAAGGAAUUGACGGGG